UAGGGAAUCUUCCGCAAUGGGCGAAAGCCUGACGGAGCAACGCCGCGUGAGUGAUGAAGGUCUUCGGAUCGUAAAACUCUGUUAUUAGGGAAGAACAAAUGUGUAAGUAACUAUGCACGUCUUGACGGUACCUAAUCAGAAAGCCACGGCUAACUACGUGCCAGCAGCCGCGGUAAUACGUAGGUGGCAAGCGUUAUCCGGAAUUAUUGGGCGUAAAGCGCGCGUAGGCGGUUUUUUAAGUCUGAUGUGAAAGCCCACGGCUCAACCGUGGAGGGUCAUUGGAAACUGGAAAACUUGAGUGCAGAAGAGGAAAGUGGAAUUCCAUGUGUAGCGGUGAAAUGCGCAGAGCUAUGGAGGAACACCAGUGGCGAAGGCGACUUUCUGGUCUGUAACUGACGCUGAUGUGCGAAAGCGUGGGGAUCAAACAGG
rnacentral:rRNA from 1 species